rnacentral:rRNA from 1 species
GAAAGUAAAGAAGGGCGCAUGGCGGAUGCCUUGGCUCUCGGAGGCGAUGAAGGACGUGAUAAGCUGCGAUAAGCUUUGGGGAGGUGCAAAUGACCUUUGAUCCAGAGAUUUCCGAAUGGGACAACCCAAUAUCUUGAAGAGGUAUUAUCCAACGUUGUUGGAGGCUAACGCAGGGAACUGAAACAUCUUAGUACCUGCAGGAAAAGAAAAUAAACAAUGAUUCCCCCAGUAGUGGCGAGCGAACGGGGAACAGCCCAAACCAUCCAUGUUACGGCAUGGGUGGGGUUGUAGGACUACGCCGUUGCAUGAAGACAUCAGAGAAGAACUUUCUGGAAAGAAAGACCAUAGAGCAUGACAGUUGCGUAUUCGAAUGUUGUCGAAGCAUAGUAGUAUCCUGAGUAGCGCGGAGCACGAGGAAUUCUGCGUGAAUCUGCCGGGACCAUCCGGUAAGGCUAAAUACUCCCGAGAGACCGAUAGCGAACCAGUACCGUGAGGGAAAGGUGAAAAGCACUUCGAACAGAAGAGUGAAAUAGUUCCUGAAACCGUGCGCCUACAAGCGGUCGGAGCUCGUUAAUGAGUGACGGCGUGCCUUUUGCAUAAUGAACCUACGAGUUGCCUUUGCCGGCAAGGUUAAGUGUGACGACACACGUAUCCGAAGCGAAAGCGAGUCUGAACAGGGCGUAUAGUCGGCAGUGGCAGACGCGAAACCAAGUGAUCUACCCUUGGCCAGGUUGAAGGCUGGGUAACACCAGCUGGAGGACCGCACCAAUAAGCGUUGAAAAGCUUCUGGAUGAGCUGAGGGUAGGGGUGAAAGGCUAAUCAAACUUGGAGAUAGCUCGUACUCCCCGAAAUGCAUUUAGGUGCAGCCUUGCGGGUUACUGAUGUGAGGUAGAGCGACUGAUAAGAUGCGAGGGCUUCACCGCCUAUCAAGUCUUGACAAACUCCGAAUGCGCAUCAGUUCUACCGCAGGAGUGAGGGCAUGGGUGCUAAGGUCCGUGCCCGAGAGGAGAAGAAUCCGGACCACCUGCUAAGGUCCCGAAAUGACAGCUAAGUUAAACUAACGAAGUCUGACUGCUAAGACAGCUAGGAUGUUGGCUUGGAAGCAGCCAUUCAUUUAAAGAGUGCGUAACAGCUCACUAGUCGAGGAGUCGGGCGUGGAUAAUAAUCGGGUAUUAAGUUGUCUACCGAAGCAGUGGGAUCAUUAAUAUGAUCGGUAGGGGAGCAUUCCAGUCAGCGUCGAAGGCGUACCGUGAGGUAUUCUGGAGCGUCUGGAAAAGCAAAUGUAGGUAUAAGUAACGAUAAAGGGGGCGGGAAACCCCCUCGCCGAAAGACUAAGGUUUCCUGAUCAACGCUAAUCGGAUCAGGGUCAGUCGGGUCCUAAGGCUCAGCCGAACGGCGAUGCCGAUGGCAGAAACGGUUAAUAUUCCGUUACUACCUUCAGGAGUGACGUGGAGACGCAGUAGUGACAGUGCCGCCAUCUGACGGAAUAGAUGGUUGAAGGGUGUAGGAGUCGAUCAUGGCAGGCAAAUCCACCAUGAGAUCCGAACCUGAUAGUAUGCCGCGUCCUUCGGGACAAGGCAAUAGUGCGCGUAAGCAUGCUGCCGAGAAAAUCCGCUAAACUUAAUCCUGCAGGUACCCGUACCGCAAACGGACACACGUAGUCGGGAUGAAUAUUCUAAGGCGCUUGAGUGAUUCACGGUUAAGGAACUAGGCAAACUGACCCUGUAACUUCGGGAUAAAGGGUCCCUACCCUUUUAUGGGAGGGCGCAGAGAAUCGGUCCAGGCAACUGUUUAACAAAAACACAGGGCUGUGCGAAAUCGAAAGACGCUGUAUACAGCCUGACACCUGCCCGGUGCUGGAAGGUUAAGAGGAGAUGUCAUCGCAAGAGAAGCAUUGAAUUGAAGCCCCAGUAAACGGCGGCCGUAACUAUAACGGUCCUAAGGUAGCGAAAUUCCUUGUCGGGUAAGUUCCGACCUGCACGAAUGGUGUAAUGAUCUGGACGCUGUCUCAACCGUGAGCUCAGUGAAAUUGUAGUAUCGGUGAAGAUGCCGAUUACCCGCGAUGGGACGAAAAGACCCCGUGAACCUUUACUAUAGCUUAUCAUUGAAUCUGGGCACGUGAUGUGUAGGAUAGGUCGGAGGCUUUGAAGCAGGUACGCCAGUAUUUGUGGAGCCGCUGUUGAAAUACGACCCUUUAUUUGUUUGGAUUCUAACCCGUGGAUACGGGGACAUUGAUUGGUGGGUAGUUUGACUGGGGUGGUCGCCUCCAAAAGCGUAACGGAGGCUUCUAAAGGUGCCCUCCGGCCGAUUGGUAACCGGCCUUAGAGUGUAAUGGCAUAAGGGCGCUUGACUGGGAGACUGACAAGUCGAUCAGGUAGGAAACUAGAGCAUAGUGAUCCGGUGUUUCCGUAUGGAAGGGACAUCGCUCAAAGGAUAAAAGGUACUCCGGGGAUAACAGGCUGAUCCCUCCCAAGA